UGAGCAAUCUGCCCUUCUCUUUGGAAUAAGCGUUGGAAACGACGUCUAAUGCCGAAUACGACCUCCUUUCGCAUGAUCGGAGGUGGAAAGCUCCGGCGGAGAAGGAUGAGCUCGCGGUCUAUCAGCUAGUUGGUGUGGGUAAUGGCCCACCAAGGCGACGACGGGUAGCCGGCCUGAGAGGGUGACCGGCCACACUGGGACUGAGACACGGCCCAGACUCCUACGGGAGGNAG
rnacentral:rRNA from 1 species